rnacentral:rRNA from 1 species
GUUCGGAUUGUAGUCUGCAACCCGACUACAUGAAGCCGGGAAUCGCUAGUAAUCGCGGAUCAGAAUGCCGCGGUGAAUACGUUCCCGGGUCUUGUACACACCGCCCGUCACACCAUGGGAGUCGGAAAUGCCCGAAGUCUGUGACCCAACCGCAAGGAGGGAGCAGCCGAAGGCAGGUCGGAUGACUGGGGGUGAAGUCGUAACAAGGUAGC